AUUAUGCUUUGCAUCGUUUUAAAAAUAAAUAUUUUGUAUUUAAAUUCUUUACGUAGUAGCCACACUGCUGCUGUCAAGAAUUUUCUGUUAGAAAAAGUUAUCAAAAUCGUAAAAUUGAAUUAAAAGAAUAUAUUAUAAAAGGAAUCAAGACUAGUUUGAGAACAUUUUUAAAUUGAGUCCAACUAUAUUUUUUAUUGAGUCUCAUAAGAAACACAAGGAAAUCACAGAAAUCAAGCGGCGUGAAAUUUCAAAUCUUCAAUGGUCACAAGUCGCAACAAAAAAUUAAUUGAAAAAGUCAUAAAACAAGAAGCUAUGACAUGCAAAUGAAAACGAGAAGACCAAAAGCGUUGUUUUUUGUGAUUAAAAAAGAAAACGUAACACGUAAAAAAACACACGAAUAUGUGGGAAUGUGAAGAAGGUCUUUGCAAUUAAUACACAGCCAGUGAGUGUCAAUAACACGAGCAUGUGGAAGGUCGUUAAAAUGCAAAAGAAAUAGAUAGAUAAUAAAGCGUGAUGUAAAAGUAACAGAUACACAAACAUAUAAGUGCAUAAAAAUUACAUAUGCAAGCAAAAAAAAAACACGAAAAUAUAUGCAAGUAACCAAACUCAAGUUUACAACAUGUAACCAUAAAAAGACAGCCGCACUGCGAAGUGUUUGAAAAAUUUUCAGCUUAAUGUGUCGAUUGUCACGCCAUUUAUGCUUGUAUAAAAAAAAUCAAGCCCUUUUUAGAUAAUUUUUAGACUACAAGCAAUUAAGAUUUUUCACCUACAUGCACAAAAGUUCACUGCAAACAUAAAAAAUGCGAUUGUGUAAUUUGAUCAAUUUGACAGCAGCUGCCAAGUAGAUAUACGGAAAGAAGAAACACAAUAACAAAUUGAGGCGACAGAGCAGAAUGCUUGUCGCAAUCAAUUAAAGUUCAACGGACAGGCACUUAUGUGGGCUAAUGCGAGAAAGAAAAUGUUUUACACAGCACCAACGAGUAUAUGUACAUUUGUAUUUAUGUAAAUAAGUAUAUAUAAUUAUAUUUGCAUUUGUUUGAAAGUAAAUGCACUUUGACAUGCAAGUGUAUAAGUAAAGCAUGUAAAAAAUGCACAAUUCACAGGUGAACUGACACAUAAGAAAUACCAACAAAUGUAAACAAACAUGGUACAGGGCGACUCAGAGCAUUAAAGGUAACCGUGGAAGAAAAUGUAAAUUGGCGCCUGCAGAAAAUUGCAUAGAAAAUCAUUGUUUUAAGUGAAUGAGUGAGCGAGUGUUGAUAAUAGCCGGAUAGAAUAUACAUAUUUAGAAAGAAAAGCAACAAAACAAAGCAUAGAAAGAAGUGGAAAAUUGAUGCAAAGACACAAUGACUGAAUGUAAAUGACCUCUUGAGAUAAACUUUGCAGAGCAGCUAAGCACGGAAAUGGGGAGGGAGGCAGGCGUUUGCAGUGGAAAAACAUUGAAGGGGAGGCAGAAUAUGCAUAAAUGAUAAAAUAUACAAAUAUUAUAAAAAAUAACAAGAAGAAGUAAAGAACAAUAGGGGAAUUUACAAUUGUUUGUGUGUUAACAUAUAAAAAAUAUAAUAAUAGUUACAACAAAAUAGCAACGAAAUAGUGCAGAAAAGCAAAUACAUAUGUUUGUAUACAUAUACACGAAUAUUGAAGCUUGGAGCGACGAAAAAAAGCUUGAUAUCCAAACGUCAAAGUAAAAUGCGGGCAGAACGCAAACGCAAACGAUGGUAGGCUGCGUAUUGCUACCAACAACAACUACGUACACUCCAAGUGAAGUAAAGUAAAGCAAAAAGCAGAAUAAAAUUCAAUCAUCGCCAACUUCACACAUAAUAAAUCAUCUAGUGCGUCUAUGUGUGUGUGUUAGAGCGCGCGGCAACUUUGAGGCUCCCCUCCCAAUGCAGACACCGCCACACCAAUACUUGGAAGUUUAGUGUGUAAAUUGCGUGUUGAAGGCGAAACAAAUGGAAAAGAAGACAUCGCUGCCGACUUAAAUAAAUAUGCAUAUAUUUUCUUAUAUACUUCUUCUGUCUAUAUUUUCCAUUUGGCUGAGGUUGUCGCUGCUGCUGCGCUGCAUGCUUACUUUGUAUGCCUUGUGGGUUGGUUACUUCGUGUGUUGUUGUGUGUGAAGAAAGUGUGAAGCGUUAACCAGCAUGCAGCUGCGCGCAGUUGAAGGAAAUUGUUGCACGAAACGGAAAUAUGAGAGUGUUUGUGGCAAGUAGUGUACGAGUGCUGACUGGGUGUUUGACGCUUUCCUCUGAGUGUGGAUCGUGCGGAAAUGGAAAUUGAGAAGAGGGUCACAAUGACACACACGCUUUGGCUUUGGUGUCGUUACAAUUUUGAUUUGUUGUGAUUUUAGAGCAUAAAUUGUGUAAAAGUGUUGUUGCACAAAUAAUGAGAAAAUAAUAAAUAUUUGGGGGAGAGGGAGGAAUAUAAAAACAGUAAAA